CUUUUUGUUUUUAAGACCUUCUUCGGAGGGUAUGCUUAAAGAGGGGCUUGCGCCACAUUAGUUAGUUGGUGGGGUAAAGGCUUACCAAGAUUAUGAUGUGUAGCUGGACUGAGAGGUUGAACAGCCACAUUGGGACUGAGACACGGCCCAAACUCCUACGGGAGGCAGCAGUAGGGAAUUUUCGGCAAUGGAGGAAACUCUGACCGAGCGACGCCGCGUGAACGAUGAAGUAUUUCGGUAUGUAAAGUUCUUUUAUUGAAGAAGAAAAAAUAGUGGAAAAACUAUCUUGACGUUAUUCAAUGAAUAAGCCCCGGCUAACUAUGUGCCAGCAGCCGCGGUAAGACAUAGGGGGCGAGCGUUAUCCGGAAUUAUUGGGCGUAAAGGGUGCGUAGGCGGUUAGAUAAGUCUAUAAUUUAAAUUCAGCGCUUAACGCUGUCUUGUUAUAGAAACUGUCUUGACUAGAGUGAGAUAGAGGCAAGCGGAAUUCCAUGUGUAGCGGUAAAAUGUGUAAAUAUAUGGAGGAACACCAGAAGCGUAGGCGGCUUGCUGGGUCUUUACUGACGCUGAGGCACGAAAGCGUGGGGAGCAAACAGGAUUAGAUACCCUGGUAGUCCACGCUGUAAACGAUGAGUACUAAGUGUCGGGGCAACUCGGUACUGAAGUUAACACAUUAAGUACUCCGCCUGAGUAGUACGUACGCAAGUAUGAAACUUAAAGGAAUUGACGGGACUCCGCACAAGCGGUGGAUCAUGUUGUUUAAUUCGAAGAUACACGAAAAACCUUACCAGGUCUUGACAUACUCUGCAAAGCUAUAGAAAUAUAGUGGAGGUUAUCAGGGAUACAGGUGGUGCAUGGUUGUCGUCAGUUCGUGUCGUGAGAUGUUAGGUUAAGUCCUAAAACGAACGCAACCCCUGUCGUUAGUUGCCAGCACGUAAUGGUGGGGACUCUAGCGAGACUGCCAAUUAAACAUUGGAGGAAGGUGGGGAUAACGUCAAAUCAUCAUGCCCCUUAUGAUCUGGGCUACAAACGUGAUACAAUGGCUGUUACAAAGAGUAGCUGAAACGCGAGUUUUUAGCCAAUCUCAAAAAGACAGUCUCAGUCCGGAUUGAAGUCUGCAACUCGACUUCAUGAAGCUGGAAUCGCUAGUAAUCGCGAAUCAGCAGCGC
rnacentral:rRNA from 1 species